rnacentral:rRNA from 1 species
UGGGGAAUAUUGCACAAUGGGCGAAAGCCUGAUGCAGCGACGCCGCGUGAGGGAUGACGGCCUUCGGGUUGUAAACCUCUUUCAGCAGGGACGAAGCGCAAGUGACGGUACCUGCAGAAGAAGCACCGGCUAACUACGUGCCAGCAGCCGCGGUAAUACGGAGGGUGCAAGCGUUGUCCGGAAUUACUGGGCGUAAAGAGUUCGUAGGCGGUUUGUCGCGUCGUUUGUGAAAACCAGCAGCUCAACUGCUGGCUUGCAGGCGAUACGGGCAGACUUGAGUACUGCAGGGGAGACUGGAAUUCCUGGUGUAGCGGUGAAAUGCGCAGAUAUCAGGAGGAACACCGGUGGCGAAGGCGGGUCUCUGGGCAGUAACUGACGCUGAGGAACGAAAGCGUGGGUAGCGAACAGG